AUUGAACGCUGGCGGCAGGCCUAACACAUGCAAGUCGAGCGGGAACUUCGGUUCUAGCGGCGGACGGGUGAGUAAUGCGUAGGAAGCUACCCGACAGAGGGGGAUACCAGUUGGAAACGACUGUUAAUACCGCAUAAUGUCUACGGACCAAAGUGUGGGACCUUCAGGCCACAUGCUGUCGGAUGCGCCUACGUGGGAUUAGCUAGUUGGUGAGGUAAUGGCUCACCAAGGCGACGAUCCCUAGCUGGUUUGAGAGGAUGAUCAGCCACACUGGAAAUGAGAAACGGUCCAGACUCCUACGGGAGGCAGCAGUGGGGAAUAUUGGACAAUGGGCGAAAGCCUGAUCCAGCCAUGCCGCGUGUGUGAAGAAGGCCUUCGGGUUGUAAAGCACUUUCAGUAGGGAGGAAGAGUUGAGUGUUAAUAGUACUCAGCUUUGACGUUACCUACAGAAGAAGCACCGGCUAACUCUGUGCCAGCAGCCGCCGUAAUAC
rnacentral:rRNA from 1 species